UACGGAAGGGGCAAGCGUUGUUCGGAAUUACUGGGCGUAAAGGGCGCGUAGGCGGCCUUGUAAGUCCUGUGUGAAAUCCCCCGGCUCAACUGGGGAACUGCACAGGAGACUGCUUGGCUUGAGUUCGGGAGAGGGAAGCGGAAUUCCGGGUGUAGCGGUGAAAUGCGUAGAUAUCCGGAGGAACACCGGUGGCGAAGGCGGCUUCCUGGACCGACACUGACGCUGAGGCGCGAAAGCCAGGGGAGCAAACGGG
rnacentral:rRNA from 1 species